UGUAAAGGACUACCAAGGCGAUGAUACAUAGCCGACCUGAGAGGGUGAUCGGCCACACUGGGACUGAGACACGGCCCAGACUCCUACGGGAGGCAGCAGUAGGGAAUCUUCGGCAAUGGGGGCAACCCUGACCGAGCAACGCCGCGUGAGUGAAGAAGGUUUUCGGAUCGUAAAACUCUGUUGUUAGAGAAGAACGUUAAGUAGAGUGGAAGAUUACUUAGGUGACGGUAUCUAACCAGAAAGGGACGGCUAACUACGUGCCACCAGCCGCGGUAAUACGUAGGUCCCAAGCGUUGUCCGGAUUUAUUGGGCGUAAAGCGAGCGCAAGUGGUUUCUUAAGUCUGAUGUAAAAGGCCCCGGCUCAACCAUUGAGUGCUUUGGAAACUGGGAGACUUGAGUGCAGGAGAGGAAAGUGGAAUUCCAUGUGUAGCGGUGAAAUGCGUAAAUAUAUGGAAGAACACCCGAGGCGAAAGCGGCUUUCUGGACUGUAACUGACGUUGAAGCUCGAAAGUGUGGGGAGCAAACAGGAUUAGAUACCCUGGUAGUCCACACCGUAAACGAUGAGUGCUAGAUGUUCGAAGGUUUCCGCCCUUGAGUGUCGCAACUAACGCAUUAAGCACUCCGCCUGGGGAGUACCACCGCAAGGGUGAAACUCAAAGGAAUUGACG
rnacentral:rRNA from 1 species